UUCAUAUCAGUUACUCAGAAUUCUUAGAACUUGAAACAGCAAGUUUCAUUUAAAAGCUGGUAAUAAGUAAUGGAUUCUAGUGGUUCUAUAACCGCCAGAUUCUGUUUUCAAAGAAGACCUACUGAGCUGAAAUGAAAUAAGCCAAUAGAUCUAAAACUUGAGAGUGCAUCCGAAUGGACAGGAAGAUUUAAAACCAGACUCCUGGGCAUUUCACUUUCCUCUGCCCUCAUUUCUGAAACCAUGGGAACUUGUUAAAUCAGAAUUUUUGGUGACAGAGACUGAGUUACAGAAAAUAAUCAGAGGAUGUUUUUCUCUAUAUUGUACUCCAGCUUAACAAGCUGUCCCUAAUAUGAUAAAACAAUAUGGUACCUGUACAUUAGCCACAAUAAAAGAGCAAGUGUAAGAACAGGGAGGAGAUAUAACAAAGACAUCCACAUCACUCUAAAAUCCAUCAGCACUAAAUCUGAUCCUGACAUUCUUGACACAAACACAUAUGCCAGGCCAUUUAAAAGAGAUUCAAAAAGAAUGGAAGGAAUGAGUUUGGCAAAAGAAGGUAAAUAACUCUAUGAAAUAAUAGUUCUCAUCCAUUUAUAGAUGAAACUGAAGCUCAAACAUGUUAAAUAAUUGGCCUAACAUUCUCAGAAGAAACAGAGUUAGGAUUCCAAUCCAA